UUCCACUUCCUCUUUCAGCUCUGUCUACUUUUCAAGGCUCAUAUUGGCACCGGAGCGACAGAGUCUUGAAAAGUUUGGAGGUGAAAGAGGAAGUGGGG